ACCCAGCUGACGAGUCCCAAGUUAGACGAAACGUGCGUCCUAGAU
rnacentral:hammerhead_ribozyme from 1 species